ACGCUCGACACCUACGGGAUGCAGCAGUUGGGAAUAUUGGACAAUGGAGGAAACUCUGAUCCAGUGACGCCGCGUGAAGGAAGAAGGUCUUCGGAUUGUAAACUUAUUUUGUCAGGGAAGAAAAAUGACUGUACCUGAAGAAAAAGCACCGGCUAACUACGUGACAGCAGCCGCGGUAAUCUGAGCGGGCUGGCAAGGC
rnacentral:rRNA from 1 species